UGGAUGAGCUUAAAAUUGAAUUUCGUACAAAAGAGAAAGUUUUUACCUUUUUUGGCGGUCGGAAAGGGUUCCGGUCCGGCGACGAGUGACGGCAGUUGCCUCCUCGACGGCAGGGUCGUCUUCUCCGGGGAGGGGUUCUGGCGACUAAGAUUAGGGUUUGGUGCAGAUGGGGGUUAUUUAUAUCCAUCUGCUUUUCAUCUGGACCGUCCAUCGCGUUUGAUCUGGACAAUUCAAUCGCAAUUAAAUAGGGAGUGAAUUUGGAUCGUUCACCGCGAUCUAAUCUGGGCCGUUCAUCGUGAUUUACUCUGGGCGAUCGCGUUUGAAUCUGGCCGUUCGAUCGCGUUUAGGAGGGAGUGCAUCCAGGCAGUCUGUGGGCGCGGGAACGGACCUCAGUUAUUCGAUCCUGGGCACGCGGAUCGCCCAUGUGCCCCGCCUUACAUGGCCUCCCGCGUCAAUGUCUCUGCUACUUGGCGCGUCCUGGUUGGUCCGGGCUGCUGACCUGGCCUGACGUCUGACGUGGCAAAACUUUUUAAAAUUAUUUUUUGGCCCAUGUUUUUCAAAUUUUCUUUCAAAAAUACCUCCAUACCCAAAUUUUCACAUUUUUUCCCAGAAUUGUUUUCAAUUUAAUCCUACAUCAAAUUUACUCUAUU
rnacentral:lncRNA from 1 species